AAUAUAAGAAGCUUUAUUGAAGUAGAUAAACUUUAGCUUGAAUACAUUAACAUGUUCCUCUCCUAUUUAUAGGAUUAAGAGGGAGGAUUUUACUCAACAGAAUAGAGGAUUUUCCUCAACAGAAUAGAUAAGAUUUCCUCAUAUAAUGGGGAAAUCUUAUCUUCUAUCAUACCCCCGCAAGAUGGUGCUCCUGACAAGGAUACCAAUCUUGGAUCGGUAAGAAAGAGGCUUCGUGAGUAAGAUAAGUGUAGAUCGCUGCUGCUGUUGCUGCGAUUGCUGUUGCUGUGAUGGCACAGGCGUUCCCUUCAUUCUCCUUAAGUCUGCCGAAUGUUGACAGAUCAACGAAGACUACCGCGGUGAGGAAGAUGAGGAUUGACCACGGAGCCUCUUAGGAAUGCAACGGCGUUGGUCGCUGGCCGAAGGGUGAAGCUUCACUUUUCUCAGCGACGUUGGUCGCUUGCCGAAGGCAAGAGCGAAGCUUCGCUUUUCUCAACGACGUUGGUCGUGGUUGCGAUUACGACGGCUGCGACGGUAGAAAAGAAAUCUACAGCAAUGUUGCAGUGAUGCUACUACAGCAAAGGAGGAAAUUGCAACAGAGGAGGAAGCUGUAGUAGAAGAGGAAAGUGUAGCAGAAGAAGAAGGAAAAUAGCUACAACGACGAAGAAAGGUGGGGCAGUGCUGAUGAGCAGCACUAGAGAUGCCGUAGCGGAAGGGAACGGACGUUGGCGCAGAGUGGCAACACCAAUGAUGAAUUGGCAGCGAGAAGAGAGCUUGCUCUAGGCAAGUGGCUCUGAUACCAUGAUAGAAAUAAUAGAAGAUAAGAACAAUAUAAUAUAAGAAGCUUUAUUGAAGUAGAUAAACUUUAGCUUGAAUACAUUAACAUGUUCCUCUCCUAUUUAUAGGAUAAAAUAUGCUCGACGUCAUGUUAGUGUAAAAGGAGAGGUGAGAUCGCGUCUCUUUGAUGGGGAAUGUGAUGGGGUAAAUGAACUGCUUCUUUGUCUGGCUUAAUCAUAUGUGAACUAAGCUAAUCGUAUUAUAAGGGUAACAUUGUUUUAUUUUUAACAACAACUAAAUGAUUGCUCCAUGGAAAAAAAAAUUACUUAUUAUAAAUUUUAUAUAAUUCGAUUUGUCUAAGAUUCAUAUGUCAAGAAUUAGACCAAAAAGAUAUAAUAGGAUGACAAAUGAUCCAAAUCCAAGAGCCAAGCCAAACGUGAUAACAGAGAGAUUUCCUCAACUGUAUAGCAGAUAAGAUUUCUUUAGUCGGUUAAAGAAAUCUUCUCUUUCAUCAUGUAUAAAUAGAACAUUUACAAUUUCAUUCUUCAUUCUCUUAUUUUAUUAAAAUGAAAAGAAAAGAAUCACUUUGACUUACUUACGUUAAAAAAAGUCAAAAUCAAACCAAACCCAAUUAAAGAAAAGAAUCAUUUUUCAGUCUUACAUUAAAAAGAGCUUUCCAGAUAGCACAAAAUCAAAAGAUUUUUUUUGAUAAAUAUUAAUUAAGUAAAAGAUUUAAGUAUCAUGAAUUAAUUAUUCAAUAAGAUAUUGAAACUAAUAAAUAUAUCAUUCAUGAAGCAAACUUAGGAUGACUAAUAUGAGGAGAUACACAAUGAAUUACGAAAUCAAAAGAUUUUCCUUUUUUAUCAAUAUUAAUUAAUUAAUAUCAUAAAUUAAUUAUUCAAUAAGAUAGUGAGAUGACGAGAUACAUAAUAAAUUUUAUAAUGGACAAUUAUAUAUCGUCUUGAUAAAAAAUAAAUAAAAUACAACUUUUGAGAUGAUAAAAAUAUAUGCUCAAAAAGCUACUGAACCAUUCGAGAUGAUAAAAAAAAAUAUUCUUAUAAAAAUUUUAAUAAAUACUACAAAUAAAAAUUUAAUUAUUUUUAUAAAUUUUAAUAACGGCGACAAAAGAUACACGUAAACAACAGUCGUAAAAAGAUGCACUUUCGAAGACAAAUCAUCGUAAAGACUUCUGUGCGUGUUGCUAACACCACGUGGUAAACAUGGCCCAAGCAAGAAUUCCUCCUGUGGUUGGACAUUUGUAUGAGCAAUAAAUUAUUCGUUCAUAACGUUCUUCAGUUCUCUUAGAAAAUGUGGAAGAAAAGUUUACAACACAACGGUUUCCCAAAGACCACUUUGUGAUGCCAAACCCGAGUGACAAGCCAUAUUCACAUCACCCAUCUUAUGGAUACAAAGUGGACCUCCAUUUUUUUCAGCAGCAGAUUUCACCUUUUGCGGAACAGGCCGGACCAAUUCUUUACGAGCUGUCCAUAGGGGUUUCACUCGCAUUGGGUGGCACGAUGACGAAAGCACCGGUUUCCAUCAUUCUCUGCUCUAUAUUUCUUUCUGCUCCAAAGACAAAAUCGUUUCCGAACGCAUUUGGAAUGGAUCGUUCCAAGACAGAUGAGGUUGGCUGAUUGAACAUUGGGGCUGAAGAUGUAUCGGCUGCUUUUGGGAAUCCAAACCCAAAAGAUGGAAGUGAUUCAGAGGCUGCAGAGUCAUGGCUGAUGGAUAGCUGCAGAGUCAUGGCUUCACUGGAUCCAAAAAGUUUUCCUUCAUACUCCAGCAAUUGCUGAUGGAUAGCUGCAAGAGAAGACAGAUCUGAGUUGCGCAGAUAAAUAGCUUAAAAUCAACCAGUUAUUGCAACUGUAUCUGAUUCACAGGUAAUGUACGUACGGAUCCUCGGUGAAAGAAAGAAGAACCAUCAUUUUAAGAUUCUGAAUUCCAAUGUCCAGCAUAAACCGGAACAUAUAUAUAUAUAAAGAAAAAAGACUAAUUACUAAGAAAGAUAAAUGCAAUUAUGCCAAGUUUUGCACUUCCAAGAGCUCCAUUCUUAUAUGAUCAUAUAGGGAAAAACAAGAACCUGGAGACAACUCCACCAUUGGUCGACGAUCUUUAACCCACUGAUAACUUUGUAAAAAUCUCCAUCCUUUGCAUUUCAUCAGAUAGGCUAUCACAAUUGCUGGAGAUCUGUCAAGAGAAAACAAUGGCUCAUACAGUGCACACAUGAUAACCAUAUCUAAUGUUUUAUGUAAACAUGUACGUGAAGCAAACUAACCUAUUCUUUCCCAACAUACAGUGGACAAGCACACGAGCUUUGUCCUUGUCACAUUUCUCUGCAUGUAUAUAGUGAAUUUUAAUGGAAAGCAAAUAAAACCUACAUGGAUGGCGGAAAGGCCAAAAUCCAAGUGGUUGAAAUACAUCAAACAACUAAACAAUGUGUGUAAGGUAUAGUUUGAGAUUUCAGGUAUGCAAAUGUCUAUGGGUCUGGUAAAGGUAAACAACUAACAAUAAAAACCUUUCAGGUAAAAUCUGGUACAGGUCUGGUAGUCGAACCUUUUUUAGAGAUUUGAGUAUAUAUGGAGUUGGGAGGCACAUGUUGUGGUCCGUAUUGCUAACCUGACAAGCCAUCUUACAUGCCACCCAAUAUCUACUGGUCCAGAUCAAACAUAGAACCACAGUGUAAGGUCUGAGUAAAGCAUUGCAAUUUAUGCAAAGGAUACAAACAAUCAUGGAAACAGCAAAAUCCAUAUGGGAGUUGGUCGUUGAAGUCACAUACAACUAGUAUAAUUUUGCCCUUUUAAUUUAACGAAACCUCAAUUAGUAUUUUGCAUAUUCCUCUGCAUACCAAAUUAUAGGCAAAAACAAUAACAAGAAGCUGUAAUGUCCGAACUAGGCAGCUCUACCCAAUAGGAGAGCCUAAUAAUAUGUUGUCCUCUUAGCUGAUUAUGUUCCACAUUCACUUAUGAUUAUGCUCGAUCAUUGCUAACACAAACACCUUAAAUUUUGAAAAAUGCGAUAGGCUUUACAUACUUUUUGAAGUCCUGACAAGUAACACUUGGCAGAAUGACUGGUGUCCUACACUGUCUUGUAACUAACUGCCAAAAAUUUGACACAAAACUCAGCAAGGAUUUCUCCUGAUUAUAUGUUUCUUCAGUUUUAAUACAUAGAAAAGAAGAGCAGUAAAUCCAAGUUUCAAGUGGAAUAUCCAUCCUGGAAGAGGUAAGAACAUAAAAGGAAAACUAAUCUCCAAUUCUUCAGCGGCAGAGAUUUAAGUUUAUUGAAGACUGAUCAGCAAAUUGUAUAUUGUGCCAACCAUCUCUGCAGUACUAUAUGCUAUUCUCUGGGAUAUCAAACUGUCGACUCAAUAUAAAUUACAAUAGAGUGACAUGCAGCGCAGCAAUUUUAAGAUGUCAAAUUGCCAAUUCUAUGUCAAUAUAGCUCAUAUCCAGGAAAACAAUUUCAAGUAGCCAAAUUAUUGAUGUAAAUGAUGUUAAGAAACAAAAACCAUACCUAAAAAUUGGUUUGCUUCAUCAAAUUGUAGACUCUUGUUAUCUUGGAGGCAAUGAUAAGUAAAGGAGUUCUUGUAUAGAUUUUGGCAAGUUGGUACUGUCUGCAAGUUCAUAAUCCAACAAUGACAUCAGGUAAAAGAAUAUUUUCAAGAGUAAGAUAACUCGCUUAGGUUAAGAUCUAUAUUUAAAGCACACAUCAAUUUUGGGAGGGGAGCAGAAGUAGGGAAAUUACAUGGUUAGAUUGAAAUCCAGUACAAACUCUAUGUCUCAAACGCACAAUAAGGUCAAACUUGAUAUUUGAUAUAUAUAAAAAAAAUCAAAUUGUGAAAGAAAAAUCCUACUAGAGCCCUUAUAAUUCAAGAUAUAACAACAUAACCAUAAUACUAAGAAAUGGCUAUUUCUGUUCACUGUUCAUUAAAGCAGCCAGUGUGAUGACAGCAAUGGGUGUUUUGCAGAAACAGGCACCAUGCUAUAGUUGUGACAUGGCAUAUUGUGUUUAGGAACAUUUGUGACUGCAGUAGCUGGUUAACAUCAGCAUUGCAACUACUAAAGCUUUAGUCUCAAUAUUAUAAUAGUUCACUAUAUGCCUUUAAGUCGAACUGAUCCAUUAUAAAUCAGUCAAAACUCAAAAGAUAAUAUAUUUAAUCAGUUUAAGUUAAAUCAACCUCCUACGUGACAAUUUAAGUUUAUUACUCAACAUAAUAAGUUGUAUAACCUUAGUUUUUUUCUCAAACUAGACACAUAUUCUUUGAGAUUUCUACAAGAGGCCCCAGGUUUUCUUGUUGGCUCUCUCUCCCAAAGUCUUCGUUUUAGAGUAUAUGCUAUCAAAAUCAUCUGUUAGGACUCUAGCUAGGAGAGUCCUAAUUGAAUUUUAUUGAAAGGGGCAUUCAUGUAAAACCUACUUAGCCGACCCCUAUUAAAGAGGUGAAGAGGCCGGCUAGGGUUAGGGUUAGUUGGGUGGUUGCUUCUUAGAGUAGGAGUCUUAUUAGUAGUUGGUUAAAAGUAGGAGUCCUAUUAGGAGUUGGGGUUUAGAAGCCCUAUAAAUAGUUAUGUAUUCAUCCUCUUUUGACAAGCAAUAGAUGAAUCUUUUCUGCAGCCUUUGAGCAGCAACUUAAAGGAAAGAACCCCUAUAGAGUUCCAAGGAGGUCGAUCCCUUAAAGAGAUCAACCCCAAGCUUAGAAUCCGCUAGGGUUCUAACACUUGGUAUCAGAGCAGCGCUCUUGGCGUCUCGCUGCCCUUCCACAGCCAUCCAUCAGCCCUCCACGGCCGCCCAAAACAAUUCCCACAAUUGCUUAAAAGAUCGUCGUCGAAUUCCGCCGUUAUCUCCACCACCGCAAAUCAUCCUCUGAUUUCCCCGUGAAUUACAACAGGUUAUGGUUUCCUACUUUACUGCUGCUGCAAUUUAGUUAUCCUUAUUCAAAAAUCCAAAAAAAUCGUUCCUAUACUGCUGCAUAAACUUUUCGUCGCAAAGUUUUUAUCUCUACGACGAAAGAUAUACUAUAGAAUUCCAACCGCAUAGCACAAUUUGUUUGAUCUUGCAACCAAGGUUCGCCGUACCGUACCGUACCGGCGUUUCGACCCAGGCUCGGUACCGGUACGGUAUACCGCUCGGUACACCCAGGUGUACCGAGCGGUACACUCACGUGUACCGAGCACUGUACACUGCUACAGUGUUACUGUACACUGCUACAGUGUUACAGUGUUACAGUGCUACAGUGGUACCGUACACUCCGCGUACCGGUCGUCUCUCGGACCAGUACGUACCGCCCGUAUCGGGCGGUAUGAUUCGGUAAGUAAAACCUUGCUUGCAACUGUGUUUUUUCUGUCCAAAUCUCUACGAAAUUUUUAUGACAGUUUUGACACUUCCUAAUAGCGGAUUUCCCUUUGGUUUCGUCAAAAAAUUCCUAAUAUAAACCACUGAUAUUUUACGUCCAAACUGCUAGAUGCACUACAGAAUUCCAGCCACAUAGCACAGUUUGUUUGAUCUUGCAACUGUGUUUUUUCUGUCCAAAUCUUUACGAAAUUUUUAUGACAACUUUGACACUUCCUAACAACGGAUUUCCCUUUGGUUUUGUCAAAAAAUUCCCAAUAUAAACCACUGAUCUUUUACGUCCAAACUGCUAGAUGCACCGCAGAAUUCCAAUCGCAUAAUAUAGUUUGUUUAAUCUUGCUACUACGUUUUUUCUGUCCAAAUCUCUACGAAAUUUUUACGACAGCUUUAACACUUCCUAACAGCAGAUUUCCUUUUGGUUUCGUCAAACAAUUCUCAAUAUAAACCGCUGACCUUUUACGUCCAAACUACUACACUUUAGACGUAAAAAUCUGCUGCAGUACCUUUCAGUGAUCCUCAAUUUUUUCGAACCUUCCACCACCCCAUGCCAUUAACCCGUCAACAGAAAAAAGACAGGGACAUCUCUGAUCUACAGGCAUAUGCUAUGGCUUCUCAAGAUCCAAUUGAUGCCAAAUUUGAAGCCAAAUUUGAAGCAUGAGAAUCUCGGAUUGAAUCGCGCUUGGAGGACAAAUUGCGCGCUUUGUUUGCAGAAUUCAGAAUUGGACAACCGUCGAGUCCAACCAAAUUUCAGCAAGGAGAGAGUUCAAAGAGGCCUUCAGAGAAGGAGGGACAGCCCUCGGACAUGCUUCAAUCACGCAUGAGGGUGGACUUCCCGCGAUGGGAAGAAGGAGACCAAACGGGGUUGAUUUCGCGCGCAGAACGUUACUUUCGCUACUACCGAACGUCGGAUGAUGCUAUGGUGGAAAUUGUUGUCAUCCACCUUGAAGGAGAUGCUAUUCAAUAGUACAAUUGGCCGGAAUACAAUCAUGGGGCUCCGACGUGGAAUCUAUUUAAAAACGCACUGUUGAAUCGUUUCGGGCCUACGGAGUAUGAAAAUAUCGAUGGCCAACUCGCAAAGAUUCAACAAACCUCUACGAUUCAAGAGUACCAAACCAGAUUUGAGAAGCUAUCCUACCUUGCUCGUGAUUGGACUGACCGUCAAUUGUUAGGAACAUUCAUCGAAGGACUCAAGCCAAAGAUAAAAGGGGAGGUUAAGACGCGGUAGCCUCGUAUCGUGACAGCUGCGAUUUCUUUCGCCCGAAUACAAGAAGAACGACUCAACCAAGAUGCUCGGAGGAUGAGAACCUCUCCUAGGCCCGCGGCAUAUAAACCUCCUUCUGCACCCAGCCAUCCUUCACUGCCAAAAAAUUUGACAAGAGAAGAACUACGUGACCGAUCAGCAAAGGGUCUUUGUUGGCAUUGCGACGAGCCGUGGAACCGCAAUCAUCACUGCAAAAGGGGCCGCCUCCUACUGAUUGAACCUCUUGAAGGCAUGGAGGAGGAAAUCCAGGAGCAUGAGGAAGAGGUCGCGGAUGAAGAACAACAGCCGAUUGAUAUUACAAUGCAUGCCCUUGCCGGUUACGCGAACCCGCAAACGAUGAAAGUGGGAGGACUUCUGAAGCAACAACCUAUCACCGUUCUUAUUGACACCGGAAACACUAAUAAUUUUAUGAACAACAAGGUUGCUGUCUGGAUGGCCUUACCUAUCGAGAAUUGUAGUAGGUUUAACGUUAAGGUCGCCGACGGACGAAUUUUGAAGUAUGAUCAUAGGUGCCCGCAGGUGAAACUAUUGCUGCAGGACCAAGAGAUAAUUGCAUAUUUCUUCCUCCUCCCUCUUGAUGAUUAUGAGGCCGUGCUUGGCAUCGAAUGGCUGACGACAUUAUGUGAUGUUUCUUGGAAUUUUGUGAAACUAAUUAUGAAAUUUUAUAGUAAGGGAAAACAAGUGAUACUGCACGGGAAACAUGGGGGCGACAUAACGAUGAUUUGCACACAACGAAUGAAGAAGGUUUUGCACAAAGCAUGCAGCGGCUUUUUGGUACAACUUGAGCAGCAAACUAAGGAAGAGCCAACAGAAUUUGAAGAUUCAAACCUACUUCCUUUGCUUGCUGAAUUUUCAGAUAUAUUUGAUGAACCACGCAACCUACCUCCUACCCGUCAGCAUGAUCAUUGUAUAUCGAUUCUUCCGGGCAAACCUCCAGCAAAUACUCGGUCAUAUCGGUAUCCAUAUCUCCAGAAGGAUGAAAUAAAAAGGAUUGUAAACGAGAUGCUCGAAACAUGAGUUAUUCGGCCAAGUUGCAGCCCCUACUCUUCACCGGUGCUCCUUGUACGAAAGAGGGACGGAACAUGACGAAUAUGCAUUGAUUACCGAGCUCUCAACGGCAUAACUGUCAAGGACAAAUACCCUAUUCCAGUAGUAGAUGAAUUGCUUGAUGAAUUAAAGGGAGCACAAGUCUUCACAAAGUUGGACCUUCGAUCCGAGUAUCAUCAAAUACGAGUGUGCAAAGAAGGCAUACCGAAAACCGCCUUUCGAACACACAAUGAUUACUACGAAUUUUUGGUAAUGCCAUUUGGUCUCACCAAUGCUCCCUCCACCUUCCAGAGCCUUAUGAAUGAUAUUUUCCAUAAUUAUCUUUGUAAGUUUGUGCUGGUUUUCUUCGACGAUAUCCUUAUUUACAGCCCUUCUUUUGAAAGUCAUUUUCAGUACUUACGACUUGUUUUAACGAUUUUACGAGAACAUGUUCUAUUUGUCAAAAAAUCGAAGUGCAACUUUCUUCAACAUAAGAUGGAAUAUCUUAGGCAUAUCAUAUCAGAGGAAGGUGUGACGGUGGACCCCUCCAAAAUUGAAGCAAUGCAGAACUGGCCGACCCCGAGAAAUAUAAAAUCGUUACGCGGACUUUCUCGGUUUAACAGGCUACUACUGCAAGCAAGUUCAUGAAAAACUAUGGAAAGAUCAGUGCACCCCUUACUUCCUUGCUGAAAAAAAAUGCUUUCCAAUGGUCGGACAAAGCCACCACCGCCUUCGACGAACUUAAAGUCGCAAUGACGACAACGCCCGUACUAGCACUACCCGACUUCGGCAAGACUUGUUAUUGAAGUCGAUGCCUCCAGAGUCGGGAUUGGUGUUGAACUAAUGCAAAAUGGUCGCCCCCUCACUUAUAUCAGUAAGGCAUUAUCUCCUUCCCAUCUCAAGAUGACUAUUUACGAUAAGGAGAUGCUCGCGAUUGUGCAUACGGUGGCCAAGUGGAGACCGUACUUGAUCGGGCGACGCUUUCAAAUCAUGACCGACCAUAAAAGCCUAAAAUAUUUCUUGGAGCAGAAGAUAUCUUCCCCGAGCAGCAAAAAUGGGUAACAAAGCUUCUUGGAUAUGAUUAUGAAAUAACUUACAAAAAGGGGCAAGAGAAUGUUGUUGCAGAUGCACUUUUGCGACUACCCGAGCAAGGUGAAUUUUCGAUCGUUUCACUUUCAACCAGCGACUUCCUUGAAGAUAUUAAGAGGGAAUGGCAGGAAGAUCCGGAGACUAGUAAGAUCAUAAAAAAAUUUGAGGAAGCACCAAGCUUCGUGGCUCAUUACAGUUGGAACUCAAAAGAAUUACGCUAUAAGGGACGCAUUGUGCUUGUGCCAAAUUCUACUUGCAUCUUCACGAGCAGAUGUUGGACAAAGUUAUUCCAUAUGCAUGGCACUAAAUUGAAAAUGAGUACGAUGUAUCACCCACAAACCGACAGCCAGACUGAAGUGGUGAACAGGUGCUUGGAGACAUACCUCAGAUGCUUCACCAGUGACCGGCCAAAAGAGUGGACAAAGUGGCUUCCCUGGGCUGAAUGGUGGUAUAAUACAACUUAUCAUUCAUCCACAAAAUAUACUCCCUAUGAGGCUAUAUAUGGCCGACCACCCCCUGUGAUCCCAAAAUAUGUGUUGGGCACCUCUAAAGUAGAACAAGUAGACAGGGAACUACAGGACAGAGACAAAAUGCUGAAGUUACUAAAAGAUAAUUUCACUACAGCCCAAGCAAGGAUGAAACAGCAAUAUGAUCAACACAAAGGCGAAAGAGAAUUUUUAGUAGGAGAUUGGGUCUUCUUACGGCUCCAGCCAUACAAGCAAACAUCAAACCAGACCAGAGCAUCUAUGAAGCUUUCACCUCGGUUCUAUGAACCCUACCAAAUUUUGGAGCACAUCGGAGCGAUGGCAUACAGAUUGGACUUAACCGCUAGCUCCCGAAUUCAUCCAGUCUUCCAUGUGUCAUGUUUAAAGCUCAAGCUGGGACAAAACGAGAUAGCCCAAAGUCAUCUACCAAAUAAGACUACCCAAGGAGAACUCCAAACCUAGCUGAGUGUCAUUAUUGAUCGACGAAUCGUGACUCGACGAUGACAACCCACUACUAAAAUACUAAUACAGUAAGCGAACCUACCAGCAGAAAAUGCCACUUAGGAGAACUAUGACGACUUGAAUAUCAAAUUCCUAGAAUUCAUGGAUCGUCAGCCUCAAGGACAAGGCUGAUUUGAAGAGGGUGGGUCUGUUAUGACUCUAGCUAGGAGAGUCCUAAUUGAAUUUUAUUGAAAGGGGCAUUCAAGUAAAACCUACCUAGCCGACCCCUAUUAAAGAGGUGAAGAGGCCGGCUAGGGUUAGGGUUAGUUGGGAGGUUGCUUCUUAGAGUAGGAGUCUUAUUAGGAGUUGGUUAAAAGUAGGAGUCUUGAGUAGGAGUUGGGGUUUAGAAGCCCUAUAAAUAAUCAUGUAUUCAUCAUCUUUUGACAGGCAAUAGAUGAAUUUUUUCUGCAGCCUUUAAGCAGCAACUUAAAGGAAGAAACCCCUAUAGAGUUCCAAGGAGGCCGAUCUCCUAAAGAGAUCAACCCCAAGCUUAGAAUCCGAUAGGGUUCUAACAUCAUCAUUUGCCUUUUCUCCAAAUGGUUCUAAUUUUUUUGAGAUGAUAUUAUCAAUUGUGCGUAACAGGUUGUAGUGUCUUAACUAUUUAUGCUCAGCUAUGUUAAUAUUUUCAUGUCAAUGAGCUUUGUGUAAGACAACAUUUCUAGUUAUAUUAAGAGCAUCUAAAUCUUUCUCUAUCAUUUAGUUUCUCUCUAUCUCUCCUUAUACCACUAGUACUAAACAAAUCAUCUUGUUUAAGCACAACAUUUAUAUCAAUUCUUUGUAUAUGUUAAUACCAUCUCUCCUGAUUCUCCCCCCAUUUUUCUCCUCUAUAAGGACCACACCUAAUUAUUUAUAAACAAAAAUAUUACUUUUUUACACAUUGAUUCAACAUUCUUAGUUGCACUAGUUUCUUGACCAUGUGAUUUCUUAACCUUGUAACGAUUUGACCAUAAAGAAUGACUAUUCUUACAAUUAUCAUAUUUUUUUCAAUCUAAAAAUACUAAAUGGUCAUAAAAACCUUUUGAUAUUCCUCUUCACUUUAAUCACUCAAUUUUUACUCUAUGAAGAAUAUCUUCUUCAAUUUCUCGUUCUUAUUAAAUAAUAGAUUCAAGAUUCUUAUGAGAACUUUGUCAUUUCAUCUUAACUACACGUACCAUUCCUCUUAAUAUUAUUAAACUUACAUCAUAUUUGAUCUUAAUCCUACUUUAUUUAAAUCAUUUAGUUUCCAAUGACAGUACAGACAGUGGACCUUGGUGUCAUAGUAAAAUUGUUUAUUCGCAAUUCAAGUGAUAAAGAACCUCCUUACUUGUAGGGGUAAUAAAAUACUGUGCGCAUUGACCCACCUAAACUCUGCAUUGAUGAGAGCCUUACCCAUUAAAUCGACAUUCUUUUGUUUCAGAGAUCUAUCUCCUAAGAAACGGAAAAGGUUCUGCAGAUAUUGAUGGGCGAGAAGAAAUGGAAGUUCUGCGUGAGCUGUGAAGUAUACAGUAUUCUAAAUUAUAUCAUUUUGUGCGUCGUUCUUAGUCCUGUCCACCAAAAUAAAAUACCGAGGUCAUAAUCCUUUGACUAGAAACAUUAAGGAGAAAGCAAUUAGUUAAUUUGAAGCAAAGAUUUCAUGCACAUCACUACUUAUUUAUCCAUCAGUGACUAUAGGUGCUUCGGAUUGCCACCGCUAUGCUAUCCGGCAAUCAAGCCUGAGAUCCCCUUCGCUAGAUGUAACCAACAUCAAAGGCAGCCACAGACCAUUCAAAAAGCAGUAAACAGACAAAUCACAAAUAGGCAAGGGGCGGUAAACUCACGUUGAGAACAUGAGUGAUGCCGAGGGUUUUGAGGAUCUCCCUCCGGGAGGCGUUGUCGUAGCUGCCGAGGUAGAGGAAAUCCUUGACGAUCUCUGAAGGGAAAGCGCUGCUCUGCUGGAUCGGCCGCGCCAACGCGGCAGCAACCCGGUGGCCGCACACCCCGCAGACCUCGCCCUCCUCGUACUUGUGGUAAUGCCCGCAAACGUCGCAGGGGUUCUCCCUCUCCCUCUUCCUCAUCGCACGACGGUAUUGAUUCCCGAUCCCCGAACCCCGAUCGGCACCCAACAAAAGGAUAUUACCAACAAAAAGUCCCUUCUUUCCUUGAAGAAUCGCUCGACGGACUCGGGAAGGCGAAAACGAGAGAGAGAGAGAGAGAGAGAGAGAGGNNNNNNNNNNNNNNNNNNNNNNNNNNNNNNNNNNNNNNNNNNNNNNNNNNNNNNNNNNNNNNNNNNNNNNNNNNNNNNNNNNNNNNNNNNNNNNNNNNNNNNNNNNNNNNNNNNNNNNNNNNNNNNNNNNNNNNNNNNNNNNNNNNNNNNNNNNNNNNNNNNNNNNNNNNNNNNNNNNNNNNNNNNNNNNNNNNNNNNNNNNNNNNNNNNNNNNNNNNNNNNNNNNNNNNNNNNNNNNNNNNNNNNNNNNNNNNNNNNNNNNNNNNNNNNNNNNNNNNNNNNNNNNNNNNNNNNNNNNNNNNNNNNNNNNNNNNNNNNNNNNNNNNNNNNNNNNNNNNNNNNNNNNNNNNNNNNNNNNNNNNNNNNNNNNNNNNNNNNNNNNNNNNNNNNNNNNNNNNNNNNNNNNNNNNNNNNNNNNNNNNNNNNNNNNNNNNNNNNNNNNNNNNNNNNNNNNNNNNNNNNNNNNNNNNNNNNNNNNNNNNNNNNNNNNNNNNNNNNNNNNNNNNNNNNNNNNNNNNNNNNNNNNNNNNNNNNNNNNNNNNNNNNNNNNNNNNNNNNNNNNNNNNNNNNNNNNNNNNNNNNNNNNNNNNNNNNNNNNNNNNNNNNNNNNNNNNNNNNNNNNNNNNNNNNNNNNNNNNNNNNNNNNNNNNNNNNNNNNNNNNNNNNNNNNNNNNNNNNNNNNNNNNNNNNNNNNNNNNNNNNNNNNNNNNNNNNNNNNNNNNNNNNNNNNNNNNNNNNNNNNNNNNNNNNNNNNNNNNNNNNNNNNNNNNNNNNNNNNNNNNNNNNNNNNNNNNNNNNNNNNNNNNNNNNNNNNNNNNNNNNNNNNNNNNNNNNNNNNNNNNNNNNNNNNNNNNNNNNNNNNNNNNNNNNNNNNNNNNNNNNNNNNNNNNNNNNNNNNNNNNNNNNNNNNNNNNNNNNNNNNNNNNNNNNNNNNNNNNNNNNNNNNNNNNNNNNNNNNNNNNNNNNNNNNNNNNNNNNNNNNNNNNNNNNNNNNNNNNNNNNNNNNNNNNNNNNNNNNNNNNNNNNNNNNNNNNNNNNNNNNNNNNNNNNNNNNNNNNNNNNNNNNNNNNNNNNNNNNNNNNNNNNNNNNNNNNNNNNNNNNNNNNNNNNNNNNNNNNNNNNNNNNNNNNNNNNNNNNNNNNNNNNNNNNNNNNNNNNNNAGAGAGAGAGAGAGAGAGAGAGAGAGAGAGAGGGUGGGGUGGGGGGGGGGGGGGUAAAGAGAGACAACCAGAACGUUCAUGGAUCUACCUAAAGAUUUUGACUGGGUGGUGCGUCGCAAGCUUUUGUCCCCCUUUUUUUUUACUUUUUACCUUUUACCCCCACUGUCUGAGCAUCCAUGUGUACUUCAAAUCACAUACCCAUGUGUUCUUCAAAUCAAAUACACGCGGUGAAAAAUUACGAGGCCUUUUACGCGUUCUUAAAAGCAUUAAAAAAAUAGAAAUCCUAGAUCUGAGAUGGCAAAUAAAUCAAUGAGCAUCUAUCUGGAUGAUGAUGAUGAUGAUGAUGAUGAUGAUGAUGAUGAUGAAUGAAACACCACAAUUUCGUCCUCAUUGGAGUUAAUUAAUCAUUCUUAGCUGUUCAGGAAUCCUACAAAUUUGAACCCAUCUGGAUUCUCGUGACGUGGAUGGAUGGACAAUCGAAAUCGGUUGGGUUUUAAAGCCGUCGUAUAAUUAAGGUCAACAAGCUGCUUGUUAUUUAUAUGUUGUUCCACUGAAUCAUUUCUUGGAGAAAUCUAUUGAUCACGUGAUUGCCUUAAAGAUGGUUGGUUUGGUACCUUGCUAUGCUUGAGAAUCCAUGUCCGGCUCACCAUAAUUAGAGGAUCGCAGAACUAGAGUGUUGAAACAAAUAUGGGAUUAACCAUGGUAAUCAUUCCGAUUGCUAAGUUCUUGAUUUUUAAUCUUAAUUUUAUUUCUUUCUUCUUUUCAUUCUUGUCCUCUUCUUUUGUGUCUAUUAUAUUUUCUUAAUUCGACUCGUUUUGCUGUAUGAAGAUCAUAAUUAAAAUCUGAAAACAAUUACUGAGUUCUAGCAUAUUAUUGUUAACGAUAAUAUUAAUUUAAUAGUUGAAUUGAUGGAGUUUAUUUGAAAAUUUUCCUAAAAUUUUUAGUUUGAUAUAUAGUGCUAUGGGUCGCGAGAGAAACUAGAGUGUAAGCAUAUAAAAAUAAUUAUUAUUUUAAUUAAUAUAUUUUUUUCUGGAUAGAUGUGUCAAUAUAUUUUUAAUUCAUAUGACUUUGAUAGAUCCACACAAAACGAAAAAAAUAAUUUAUAUAAAAUAUAAUUAAGCAUUGAAAUUUCAUUAUGAUUUGUGAAAUAAUAUUGAUCUAAUCUCGAUUCAAAUAAAUGGUUGGUGGUGAAAUAGGUUUAAAAUGGGUUUGUACUUAAAAGAUGAUAGUUUGAUAUUGAAAAAAUUGAGUGUAAAAUCGAGUGCAAAAGUCAUUUGACAGCAAUUUUGAUUGCAAAAGUUCACUCCAGCAUUUGUUAAAGAAAAAGAAAUCUAUUUUGACGAAUAUGAAUAAGAGUAAGAGAAAGAUAAUGAUGGGUUUGAGAAUGAUGAUAUUGAUUAUGAUGAUGAUUGAAUUUGAUAUAAAACUCUAUUAUUUUGAGUCAUUUGACAUUUUUACAUGAUGGAUAAUAUGACUUGAUAUUUUAUACCUUUUCAAUUUAAUAUUAUUAUAUUUAUUAAUUAUAAUAUAUUUUUAAGAUUUUAUUAUUUUAGAUCAUUUCAUUUUGACGAGCGCCCAGGCAAGCGCUUAACACAUUAGCUGUUUUAGGACAUUGGUGCUUAACAUUUUUAAAAAUACUAUUUGAUGUGUUGAUCAUAUAGUGCAUUUAUCAUGAUUUCAUUUCAUAUGGAUUAGCUAAGAAGUUGUCUAAAUUAAUUAUUUGGUAAAAAGGGAGGGCUCAUAUUUCCUGAGGAAUCUUGAAGACGUUUCAGAUUAUAGGAAAUGAGUCGCUAUACUUUUUUUUUUGGGUUAUGGUUGUUGUUUGGGUUGUUACCUUUUUCCUUUUCUUUACAAUAUUAUUAUUAUUAUUAUUAUUAUUAUUAUUAUUAUUAUUAUUAUUAUUAUUAUUAUUAUUAUUAUUAUUAUUAUUAUUAUGGUUGCAAAGAAGAUGAUGAACACUCCUCCCAAUGCAAAAACACUCCCAAGAGGAUUCCGAGGCCAUUCCUAAAUUUCGCGGCGUUCGUCUGCGGAGGUCUCGCAGAUUCCGUCCGCUUCACGAGCAUUCGUGCAGGAGGAAGUCAGUAGACACACAAAUGGCGUAUUAGCCAGCCUUGUUAAAGAAAGCAUAGCUUUCCCAUGCAAGUCUCACCUGACCCCUAAGGAGGCAGCAGUGAAAUUAUUUUCGCCAUUUGUUGGAAGAAGACAUAGGAUAGGCUGCCUGUAAAUGCUGGUCUUUGUGGAGCAGCAGUUAAAUAUUAUUUCGUAUAGGCGUCGGCUUUCUAUGGCAGCCACUAGUGUUGAUCAUCCUCCCACCGAGUCACACAAAAAUAUUUGCUCCCUUCGGCUGUUGAGUGGCUCACCGCAUUGUACUCUUCUUUCUUUCGUCUUCCCUGAUGUCAAAAGGCUCACGCUGGGAGGAACUUCCCAGCUUCUUGAGUUAUGGGUUUUAGUGAGCAAAGGUGGAUUUUUCGGAAGACUAAUAAUUAAAUCUCUUGUAGUCGUCUCCUUGUAGCAUCAGGCGUUAUAGGAUUUUUAAAAGUCACUUAUAAUUAUUUACCCCCCAUUUUCUUUCACGGAAAUCUCUGCAUGUCAUUGCAGAAUUGAUGAUUAAAUGAUUAUUUCAUCCAUCAACCAACCCUUCUUUUGGUACUAAGAAAUAGUUGGUUUUGAAUGACCCCGUUUUGACUUUUCACUGUUAGUGCCUCAAAUCUCCUCUUCUUAUAAUUAAUACAAUUUUCCAAUGUCACAACCUUUGGUUCAAAGACAGAUGGAUUAUGUUAUUGUGGUAUGGGAUUGACAAUGAAAAUAUCUUAGACAGACUAGAAAGGCGAUUUACCUCUAUUUCUUUUAUCAUUCUAACUAUUUUAUAUUUGCCAGUUGCAUAGUUGUAUUUAUCUGAUUGCGAAUUGUUGAGGAUUGUUUGAUAAUACAAGUAAUGUGCUCUUGUUUAUGAUACAACAUAAAUAUGAUUUGAUCCAUCUGAGCAAAUAGAGUAAUUUUAAAUUUAUUAUGAUCAGUAAAAGUGUUUGAAGUGGAGUUGAUGGAGAAAUUUAAGGUAAUUACAUAUUAUCCUCUUUAAUUAGUUAUAUUUAGCAUCCAGAUUUUUAUAUUUUUAAAAGUUAUUUAUAUUUAUAAAAGUGAAACAUUUAAUCUUAUUUAUUCUCACCUCGUCAAUUGGGAACAUCGUAAGGUUUACCAUUGAUUACGUAUUGAUUUUACCUCACUUUCAUUUAUCAUUGAGCACGUGCGGUGUUUUCGUCGGUAGAGUCGACGGUGUGGAGAGAAACGAAAUUAAAUAUUUCACUUUCAUAAGUACAUAAAUUUUAAUAUAAGUUUUAAAAACAUAAGGAUCGAGAUGCUAAAUAUGGUUAAUUAAUAUGUAAUUAGCUAAAAAAAUUAUAUUAGAUUGCAAUGUACUAUAUUUGAAUAAUUGGUCUAGGAGAUAUAUGUGAUUAUAUAUUCAACUUAGCAUGCGAAACCUCUUGGUUUUUACUUUUGAAUUAUUUUCCUGUCAUUAUGAUAUAUUUUUUAUUGCAACACGAUACUUCUUUUUCAUUGCUUACGUGAUUCAUUGUGACACUAGCUAUUAUGUCUUGUGACUGUGGUUUCGUAGAUUAUCUAACUUGCUCAAGUAUAUAUACAGCCGGAAUAAGACCUUGCUCUUGCUCUUGAACCAUAAGCUAUUAAUCAUUCUCCUCGACCUUAUCGUAUACUCUUUCAUUCGCCUAUGCAUUAUAUUGUUUCAUCUCCUUCGUACUCACUCUCAUGAAUUGAAAUGAAUCAUCAGCAUAUAUACUAUCAACAUAGUUAAGAAAAUAAUCCUCUACAAUAGAUAAAUACCAUCACCAUAAUAAGGAUUCAAAAAUAAUCAUCUAUGACAUAAGCAAAAACACCACUAAUGUGGAUUCAAAAAUAAUCACAUAUACGACAGUGAGAAUUCAAAAAUCACACAAGCGGUCCACUACUCAUAAGAGACAUUAAUCCAUAACAAUGAUUUAAAAUUUAAAAAAUAAAAAAUACCCUCAUUAAACUCUUUAUCGUUUAAAAAUUUUAUGAUAAUUCUUUUGCCUUACGUCUAGUCCUCAUCUGUUGCAAUAAGAAUCGCAAACCUUAACCCUUGACACCUCAACUAAUCAACGACUAGUCAGAAAAUAAAUAAAUAAAAACUCUUCCUCUCUCGAGCCUUAAUUAAAAAUUUGUGAUGACGAUUAGAAUAGAAAAGUUUUGUGUAUGUAAAACUUCAUAUAGACAGAGCUCUUCCUGUAUUGAUCGAAAUAUCCUUAACUUUGGUACUAAUUCCGCAUAUGAUAUCAUGUGCAAAGUUUUUUUUUAUCAAAGAAACAGGAUUAAAAAUGGAUAAAUUUCUAAUAAUUUUAAAACUGUGAGGGUCCGAAUAUAAUUUUAAAAAAUUAAAAAAAUAUAUUGCUAGAAGAAGCCAAGUUCCAAAAAGAAUUAAAAAAAAUUUGUAAUUAGCCCCAUUUUGGUUAUGUGUCGACUGCGAGAUUACACUUGGUCUGUGUUGGCGCAGGGAGCUCGGAGCAGCAUUAGCAAGUGAAGUAUGGACACUCGAUCAUGCCUGGGGACGAGUUUCGAUGAGGUUGCUAGAUGUUCCUUCUUGUCCGCUCCAACAAAGACAUGUAGACUACUACUACUCAAGUUUGCGAUGACUCGAGUGUUGAAUCUCGUAUUUUGAUGAUGAAACUACUUGAUAUAUGUUUAUGAUUUAAUCUGUGUUUUGAGUGACGCAGGAUGCUUCGAUCAGGAUGAGAUAAUUAAAGCAGGAAAAUCAUGUUGUGCCGGAGGAACAUGUCAGAAGAUUGGACGUCGGGCCGGUGGAUCGGUCGACGUAUCGACAGAAGGCUUCGGGCCGUGGACUCGGGCAUCGGGCCAAGAAGAGCGGGUAUUGUGCCAGGGUUAUCGGAGUUGCGGAGUCAACUGGCCGAUUGGGCAAUAGGCUACAGGAGAGGACGAUACGCCGAAGAAUCGGACGAAGCGUCGAGGGACCAAUGACAUGCCGGACAACUUAGUUAAUUGCUUAGGAUUAAUUGUCUCGAUCGAAGUUUUAUUUUAAGUGUGCAGGAUUAACUACGAUAGAAGAAAGACAUGCAGUAGGAGUUACGCCGGAGUCAAGACAAUGAUCACGUUGGGAGUUCGAGAGUUCGACGGAAGUUCGGACAAUCGUCGGAGGUUCUGCGAGAACAAAUCCAAGAAGUCCAUGAGCUUGCCAAAGAAGCUCGUCGGAACUCGCCAAGUGGAUCGUCGCAAGUCCAGGAGUUUGUCGGAAGUCCACAGGAGCAUCACUGAGGGUUCAUCGGAUGAUCGACGGAAGUUCGCCGGAAGAAGCGAUUGACGCACCGGAGCAAGUUGCAGUAAAUGUCUUAGGAAAUAUCGUAGUUAGCACAAUGAUUAAGUUGGAAAUAGGAGGUGAUCCCAUUAACUUAAUCUUGGGGCAAUUGGGCCCCUGAAAAACCCAAAUUGGGCCGAAUGGAUCAACCCAUUCGGACCCUUAUUUCUGCCAGGUGGUGGCACCGCCUGAGCUCAGUCUUCGAGCUCUGGCAGGAGGUGCAACCACGCCUGACAGAGGUGGCACCGCCUGGGCUCAGUCUCCGAGCUCUGGCUGAGCGGUGCAACUACCUCAUUCAGGCAGUGGCACCGCCUGAGCUCGGUCUUCGAGCUCUGGCAGGAGGUNNNNNNNNNNNNNNNNNNNNNNNNNNNNNNNNNNNNNNNNNNNNNNNNNNNNNNNNNNNNNNNNNNNNNNNNNNNNNNNNNNNNNNNNNNNNNNNNNNNNNNNNNNNNNNNNNNNNNNNNNNNNNNNNNNNNNNNNNNNNNNNNNNNNNNNNNNNNNNNNNNNNNNNNNNNNNNNNNNNNNNNNNNNNNNNNNNNNNNNNNNNNNNNNNNNNNNNNNNNNNNNNNNNNNNNNNNNNNNNNNNNNNNNNNNNNNNNNNNNNNNNNNNNNNNNNNNNNNNNNNNNNNNNNNNNNNNNNNNNNNNNNNNNNNNNNNNNNNNNNNNNNNNNNNNNNNNNNNNNNNNNNNNNNNNNNNNNNNNNNNNNNNNNNNNNNNNNNNNNNNNNNNNNNNNNNNNNNNNNNNNNNNNNNNNNNNNNNNNNNNNNNNNNNNNNNNNNNNNNNNNNNNNNNNNNNNNNNNNNNNNNNNNNNNNNNNNNNNNNNNNNNNNNNNNNNNNNNNUCGGACCCUUAUUUCUGCCAGGUGGUGGCACCGCCUGAGCUCAGUCUUCGAGCUCUGGCAGGAGGUGCAACCACGCCUGACAGAGGUGGCACCGCCUGGGCUCAGUCUCCGAGCUCUGGCUGAGCGGUGCAACUACCUCAUUCAGGCAGUGGCACCGCCUGAGCUCGGUCUUCGAGCUCUGGCAGGAGGUGCAACCGCCCCUGACAGAGGUGGCACCGCCUGGGCUCGAUCUCCGAGCUCUGGCUGAGCGGUGCAACCACCUCAGUCAGGCGGUGGCACCGCUUGAGCUCGGUCUUCGAGCUCUGGCAAGAGGUGCAACCGCCCCUGACAGGAGGUGGCAUCGCCUAGAGGCUCAGUCUUCGAGCUCUGCCAGGCAAUGCAACCGCCCCAGUCAGGCGGUGCAACCGCCAGAUCCCGGAAUUCCGGGAAUUGACAGUUUUGAGCUCCAAAUUCAAACUGGGUUGGGGCCUAUAAAUACCUCACCCUUUCAGCACUGAAAGGGCACCCAAAAACCACCGAAAUUCUGAUUUUACUUUGUGAUUUUUAGAGCUCAAAAGUGUUGUAUGAGUUGAAAGUUCUUCUUCCUCUUUUCUUCCAAGUUCUAAUCUGUUAAGAGAGGAAAUAAAAUUCUGUAAGGGUUGUCUCCUAAGCCCGUCAAAUAGGUGAAGGAAGGCUUCGGGCCGUGGACUCGGGCAUCGGGCCAAGAAGAGCGAGUAUUGUGCCAAGGAUAUCGGAGUUGCGGAGUCAACUGGUCGAUUGCGCAAUAGGCUGCAGGAGAGGACGAUGCGCCGAAAAAUCGGACGAAGCGUCGAGGGACCAAUGACAUGCCGGACAACUUGGUUAAUUGCUUAGGAUUAAUUGUCUCGAUCGAAGUUUUGUUUUAAGUGUGCAGGAUUAACUACGAUGGAAGAAAGACAUGCAGCAGGAGUUGCGCCGGAGUCAAGACAAUGAUCACGUUGGGAGUUCGACGGAAGUUCGGACAGUCGUCGGAGGUUCUGCGGGAACAAAUCCGAGAAGUCCAUGUGCUUGCCAAAGAAGCUCGUCGGAACUCGCCAAGUGGAUCGUCGCAAGUCCAGGAGUUUGCCGGAAGUCCGCAGGAGCAUCACUAGGGUUCAUCGGAUGAUUGACGGAAGUUCGUCGGAAGAAGCGAUUGACGCACCGGAGCAAGUUGCAGUAAAUGUCUUAGGAAAUAUCGUAGUUAGCACAAUGAUUAAGUUGGAAAUGGGAGGUGAUCCCAUUAACUUAAUCUUGGGGCAAUUAGGCCCCUGAAAAACCCAAAUUGGGCCGAAUGGAUCAACCCAUUCGGACCCUAAUUUCUGCCAGGCGGUGGCACUGCCUGAGCUCAGUCUUCGAGCUCUGGCAGGAGGCGCAACCGCCCCUGACAGAGGUGGCACCGCUUGGGCUCAGUCUCCGAGCUCUGGCUGAGCGGUGCAACCGCCUCAGUUAGGCGGUGGCACCGCCUGAGCUCGGUCUUCGAGCUUUGGCAGGAGGUGCAACCGCCCCUGAUAGGAGGUGGCACCGCCUAGAGGCUCAGUCUUCGAGCUCUGCUAGGCGGUGCAACCACCCGAGUCAGGCGGUGCAACCGCCAGAUCCCGGAAUUUCGAGAAUUGAUAGUUUUGAGCUCCAAAUUCAAACUGGGUUGGGGCCUAUAAAUACCCCACCCUUUCAGCACUGAAAGGGCACCCAGAAACCACUGAAAUUCUGAUUUUACUUUGUGAUUUUUAGAGCUCAAAAGUGUUGUAUGAGUUGAAAGUUCUAAUAUGUUAAGAGAGGAAAGGAAAUUCUGUAAGGGUUGUCUCCUAAGCCCGUCAAAAGGAGUGAAACUGUAAAAUGGUGGUUGGCCUUCGCCUAUUGAAGGAAGGCCUCUAGUUGACGUCGGUGACCUCGUCGGUGGAGGAAGCCAAAAGUGGAGUAGGUCAAGAUUGAUCGAACCACUCUAAAUCUCGGUUUGCAUUUACUUUGAGCAUAUUAUCUUUACUGCAAACCUCCUCAAAAGCUUACUGCUUUCUACGCAUAUACGAUCGUGUUUCAAGCUCUGCAUUUUCCGAAUCGGCAUUUAGACGUAAAUCGUUUUUAUCGUACGAACAUCAUAUUUCAGUUUGCGUUUACGUUCUGAUUUCUAUCAUAACUGCAAACUGCCUUUAUAUCUUUGCUUUAACUGUAUCUUGCUUGGUUACAAGUUAAAGUGAUUUACGAAUCAGAUUUUCUACCGAAAUCGCUCUUAUUGUGCGAAUGCGAUUUUAAUCGUCGAAAGUUUUCUACUACACUAAUUCACCCCCCUCUUAGUGCUCUUGAUCGUAACACCGAGUUGGUUUCCAUGGCAUUCCCAAGAGUGCAAAUUGUUUAUUGCUGUGAUGUGAUGUGAUGUGAUGGGAAUCUCAUCGGCAAUUUGCAUUCUCGAGUUCAGCUGGGGAUACACAAUGUGGCUUUGCCACCAAAAUAAAUUACCAUACAGAAUUUGUUGGGAGGCAUCCCCAACCAAACCGGCCUCUCCACCGUCACUGUUCUUAAUACUUAAUAUAUAUAUAUAUAUAUAUAUAUAUAUAUAUAUAUAUAUAUAUAUAUAUAUAUAUAUAUAUAUAUAUAUAUAAUCUGCAGAACGGUUUGUUCUCGUGGUUACAAUCUUUUCUCGAAAUACAAGUCGUCUCGUUUCAAACAUUGCCACGGAAAAAUGUAAAAAAGAAAGAAAAAAUAAAACCUCCGCCCCCUCCCAUUUCUUUUUAGUAUUUUAAUUUCACCAUUUUUUUUAACCGUAGAAGCCGUGAAGCUCUACGAAUCGGAACCCUUAAUUCGCCCGGAAUUCUCCAAAUCUUCCUUCCUUCUUCUUCUUCUUCUUCUUCUUCGACGCGGUCUCCAAUCCUGUCGUCGUCCCGCUUGAUCCUGUGCCCUAAAUCUCCCCAAACGAGCAGCGACUUCGAUCCGAAUUGUGGUUUCUUAAUCCGCUCUGCCGGCCCUGGAGGUCCCGCUUCGAAGCCAGGAGUGGAGGUUUCUCGGGAUUGGGGCGCCUCAGUGUUGUUUUCUCAACUUUGGCUGGCACCUGCGAGCAAGAGUACGUUCUCGUCUUUAGAUGUCCCCUUCGCCUAUCUUCUCAAGUUACAGAGUGAAGUUCGUGAACUGAGGAAUUCUAGGUUUUGUUUGUGAACUCCGUUUCUGCUGGUGUCUGGUCUAAGCUGCUGCAACUGUGUCAUUGUGAAUGGCGAGCCCUAGUGCUCGCAAGGAUAAUACAGGAACGGGUCUGUGAUCUGAACUGAAUCAUUGCAUCUAACUUUAAACAAGUAAUUGGGUUACCGUCAUCAGUUCUGCUGUGCUGGAGGUGGCGGCGGCAACAGCGUGAGCUGGGAAAUGAGGUUGGCAAGGGAAGAGAGAUGACUAGGCUUUCGUUCAGGCCUCGGCCACUUGACAUUCACAAGAAGCUCCCCAUUGUCAAAUCCAUUAAAGAAUUUGAGGAAGAUGAGACACUUGUCACAGCUGCAUCCACCCGCAACUCACAGCUGCUCUGGAGUGCAGCUGAGAAUGAGAAUGAGGUACUGCUGAUCUCUUAUUAGCAUGUCAAGCUUGCGUUGGUUGCUUGAACUUAUGGACCAAUGCUUUUUCUUCUCGUAUGGGAUUCUGAACAUGGUAAUGCUGAUCUCUUAUUAGCAUGUCAAGCUUGUGUUGGUUGCUUAACUUAUGGACCACUGCUUUUUCUUCUUGCAUGGUAUUCUGAAGACUGGUGCAUAGUUAGAGAACUCCAACUGUCAGUAUUCUAAAUAUUGAAUGUGGAUAUCAUGAUGGAAAUCUAUACUCCUUGGAUUGAAUGAUAAAGCUUUGUUCUUGGAGACUCCAAAAGUAGCAUUAACAAGUUGAAUUCUUAAAAGGACAUCAGAUUGUUCUUUUCUGUCUUGACUUGGGGGUUUUCUUGUGUUUACGGUUGUUAGGGCGUUCAGGUCAUCAAAGUUUCUUCCAAUAUGAACUUGUAUAACACGUGGAAUGCCCUUGCAUGAAAUUGCUUGGUGAGACAUCUGGUCAUCCAAUUAUAAUUAUUUCUUCUCUAUAUGUCAGUAAGGCCAUCUCUGAUCAUAAAAUGAUUCAUGACUCUAGUUUCUUGUUUGUCAACGGUUGAAUCUUGAUUGUUCCUUUAUGACGUGGGUGACUUAGAGUUCUACGUAGGAAAAUAAUUUCUUUGUUUGAAGGGAUAGAGUUGAAAAUGCAAAAUUGUCAACGGUUGAAUUUUGAUCUGUGAACCAUUAUAUAUAGUUAGAUUGAUUAGUGACUAACAGAAUUAUAUUUUUUUCCCUUUAGGUGCAUCAAACUCGUAGCAAGGCAAGUUCUCAAGAAAUACCUACCCCCCAGUUCAUUGUUGUGGACACAUACGAAAGAGACUAUGCUUGCACCUUCACACAAACCACAUCAUAUAUACGUGGAAGAGGAGGUUUUGGUCAAAUUUUGCAUAAAUUUACUAUGAAAAAGAAAAAUAUAGAUUAUGUUUCAUAUUUCUGAUCCUUUUUUAUUAUUACAUCUUGCAGCUCGGGCUGAGAUUGGUGAAUUUGUUGAAUAUGACCUGGAUAAUGAAGAUGAUGAAUGGCUUGAAGAGUUCAACCAUGAUAAGAUGACUCUUACACCUGAAAAGUAAUAGUCAAAGUCUACACUUGAUGACCUUUAUGCCCAUUUUAUCUUUUAAUGUUGUGUUUCUUUGAUGAUCUGUAAAAUUUGGAACUUGCUCUUCUCCCUAGAAUGCUAGAAAUAGAUUUCUGAAACAAUGAAGUCUUAUUAUGCUUUAUUUACUCUUUGGAUUUCUUUUUCGUUUUUCUUUUAUUUUGAGAAAAAGCAGAAUUGCAGGGCGGGUUUGAAAGAUGAAAAGAAUGAUAACUCUUCUUAGUACUAGAUACAUAAAAAGAAAACAUUUUCACCUCAUAAGAAAUGAGGUCAGAUUAUCUCCAAAUAAAAUCUAAUGGUUACUUUAAUGAUGAUUCUUUUUUUUUUUUUGAUGUUUUAAGGGUCGAUUUGCAUGAAGACUGGUGAAAUUGCCAAUUUUCAUUCACAUAGACAUGGUGCUGCAUGCAGAGUCUCAGAAAAAGCAGAUGCUUUCCAUGCUAGGAACCUGACCACUUCCUAUAAUUUGUUUGCUGAAUUGAAGUCCUUAGAAAAAUACUCGUUAUCUUGAUGAUUCAUAUGUUCUCUUUCUCUAUGUUGAAAGCAAUACAAUUGAAGAGAAAUGCUCUUUGUGCUUAGUCAAGUUAUUAUAAUCCACAGAAUCUAGGUGUCCUGUGAAUUUUCUUAAGGAAUCUGUAUGGUCUUUCAAUUUUGCCAUACACACAUAUAGAUGCACACACAUACAUACAUAUGAUAUGUCUCAUGGCAUGCUCUGUCACCGUGACAUCAUGAUUCCUCUCUAAUCGAGGCCAAGAAGGCUGGUGGGGAAGGCUCAGCCACCAUUUUUACCAAGAAAAUUGGCCAAGCCAGUAGCCUGCCAGUUAUGGUAGAGAAUUAAUGCAAAGCCCUACCUCAUGAUUAUGACCUAUCCAGUGUAGGUCACUUGGUCAAGCAUUGUAGCCAGAGUCAUGUUUAAGCAUUAAAAGGUAUGGCCCUGUACACAAGACUUCUGGUACAGGUUAAGCAUCACUUAGGAAUUGAGGUAAUGAAAAAGAGGAUGCUCUUAGUGAGCUGCAACUAUGGACUAACCGACCUAAGCACAUUCCAUGAACUGUCACAUUGUUCCGACUUCCAAGCGCAUCCUGGAUGUUGCAUGUCAUAUACCCUGGUUUGUCAUGGUCAAAUUUGAAGCAUUGCAAAAUUUGUUGUGGAAAUAUUCUGUAAAGAAAGCAUGCUGCUUAUGUUGCACAUAGCAUAAUGAGUUGUUUUCUUUUUGGUGCUAAUUUUCAUUAACCUAAGCUUAUUUUGUUACAGAUGUGAGACCAUUUUGUUCAAGUUGGAGGUUAUGGAUUAUAAAGCUCGAGAACGAGCAGGAGUCAUAACACCUACUUUUGGAUCACCGAUUCCUGUUCUUUUACAACUUGAUGCAGCAGCAGAGGUGGAUGACUAAUCAUUUCUCAAUUUCGCUUUCGAUUAUUCACAUGAAAUACAGUUUCUCUUAUUUCUAGAUGUAAUGAUGUUUCUAUAAUUUCUUGACAUUUGUUUAGUUGCGAAGCAAAGCAUUGUAUCCAAUAUGAUGAUUGAAUCAGUUAAGGAUGAAAAAUAUUCUGUGUGCUAAACAAAUGAUUCUCAUGAAAUUAUGUUUCUGAUGCUAAUACAAAGUGGAUCUUGUAUUAGAAAUGUUAAACAUGACAAAUAAGGAGAAGAGUUGCACAAUCUUCCAUUGGCUUACUAGCUUAUGUGCUGUGAUUUUGUGGGAUAUAAUGAAGUUUCAUGAUAUGAAAUUUUGCCUGGCAACUAAUUAAUUUUCCCAACUAUUUGGUCAUUUUUUGCAGGCUUUACAAUUCCUAUCUGUACGAUAUCCGGUAUUCCAGUCUGUAUAUAGCUAUUGGAAAGCAAAGGUAUGCUUCAUUUGCUGUUAGAAAUAUAGAGUUACUACCAUUUUUAUAUAAUAGCAUUGUUAAGAAUUUAUGAAUCUGAGGCUUCAUAUUUUUGUUGACUAAUAAAUUUUAACCAAAAUUUAAAAUUUUGACUCAAUAUAUCUGCUUAUGGUUGUUUUGUUAUUUAUCAGAGAGAAUGGUGGCAAAAACCUAUAUUGCGGCGCUUGCAGGUUGCACUCUUUUCCUUAUCAUUUUUAGAAUAUGGGCAUUGAUAUUUUCUUAGGUGAAUCUUGCUUGUUUACUUGUUAAACUGGUUUUACAUAAAGUAAUUUCAAAAUGCUGCUAAUAUAUGCUAAUAAAAAUCUUCUUUUGCUUUUAAGGUUGUUCAAUGACUGUCAUAUCAAGAUAGUAGUGAUUUAAAAAGCGUUAGGUGCCAAGGUCCAAAAACGCCCGAGGCGUUAGGCGCUAAAAUAUAAAAAUAUGUAAUAUAAUUAAUAAAUAUAAUUAUUUAAAUAAAAAAUAUGCUAUUAAAUUAAAAAAAUCAGGUACAAAAUCACAAUGUCACAUUAAUAAAAAGUCUCAAAAAUCAAAACAAUAAAAUUUUACAUCAAAUCUAUUGAGUUACUCUGUACACUUGCCAUUUAUUUUGAAACCUAACAAUAAUUUUAAAUAAAUAAAAAUUAAUAGUAUUAAAAUCAAAAUAAUAUAUUAUUAAUCUAAUAAAUAAAAAUACUAUUAUUAGUAUACAGUUAGCAGUAUACUGUUAAUAGUAUAGUGAGAAGAGCGUGAGAAGACCGAAGCUGCUGAGGCAACGAUAGCGGUAGCAGGUGACAGCCAUAGCUGGAGCGGGAGCGGCAGUAGGAGUGGGAGCGGGAGCGGCGACAGCAGCGGCGAGCAGUCGGCGAGCAGCGAUUGUGGCAGCGGCGAGUAGCGACAGUAGCGGCGAGCAGUGACGGUGGCAGCGAAAUCUCGGCAGCAAAAUCGCGAGUGUUAGGGUUGGGGAAGUUGGGGAAAUCGCGAGAGGGAGCCUGAUAUCGAUGAUUUAGUUGGUUCGAUUGAACCAACUAAAGCAUCAUAGACCAACCAGACCUAAAAAUCUGGUUCGAUCGCUUGGUUUAACCCAAGCGCUCGCCCGAAGCGCCCGACGCCUAGGCUCGGGCGAGCGCCCAAGCGGUGCCUCUUUGAAGCGCGCCGCCUGGAAAUGAAGCGAGCCGCUCGGGCCUCGCCUCGCCCGAGCGCCUAGGCGAGCGCCCGAGCGCCUAUUGUAAUCAUUGCUAGAUAGCACUAGUUUUGGAUGAAGAACAACAAUUUGCUUAUAGUAAUAUGGUCCCUAUAUCACCUUCCUUUUAUUAAAGAAUACAAAUGUCUAUGUGUAAAACAAAAACCAAAAGAUAACAUAAUGCACAGUGUCAUCAAUAAUGUGGAUUUAUAGCCAUUCUUUAAUUGGAAUGGCAUGUACUACCAACAUGGAUGGUGGAAGCUUAGACCUGAACUCUGGGGUGCUGAACAUUUGUCUAUGUUAUAGAACUUAAUAUAGUUUCACUUUCAUGUUUAUUUUUGGGGUGUAUGUGGUUCUUCACUAAACUUUUAGUUACAUUACACCAACAGGAUGUUUACAGGAAACUUAGUGGUAUUAUGAGGAACCUUUUGUAUUUAACAUUUUUGAAGUUACUGUUUUGCUAGUUGAACAAUUUCUUAGAGAGAGGUAACUGGUAAUAUGUUAGUUCAAAUUGUGUCGAACAGACUUUCUUGCAGUUUGUCUUAACCAGCAUGAAAACAUGGAAAAUGUUUUGCCUGAAUGGCUUCUUUAAUAUUUGUUAUCAGCUUCAUCAUGGAAGCAUUCUUAUGCAUCAAAUGAGUCACCUAUUCCCUUUUGUCAACCAGGGUGCUGAAAAUGCUUCUUGUUAUUAUUUGGUUACUGGACUGCACAUUACCUGUUGGGUUUGGUUCUGCAUGUAAAAAGAAUUGGCUAAAAACAGCCAUCAUCUUUUUGAGCUGCCUAGGUUGUGGUCUGUUUUUAGAUGUUUAAAUGGCUAAUUCUUCUGCUAGUAUAAUGGUAUAAUACUCUAUGGGAUUGUGUAGUUUCUUAAAAGUAGGAAUUGAUCUAAUCAUGGUUAAUUUUAUUUCUUAUCUGUGCAGCCUCCUCCACCAGUUAAUGAUACAAAUCCUUAUAAUGUAUUCAGACCGAGGGAAAAGGCACACCGUCUUCACAUGAGAAGGGUAGGUGCUAAGGAAUCAGCAAUGUAUCUAAUUAGUUGUUGAGUGUUGACACAGAAAAUACUUUGUACCAUAAAAGUUAAAGACUUGCUGAAAGAAAUUAGGUGCUUCUUACCCUAUGUGCUGGAUAUUUGACUACUAUUUUUUCAGAUGCAAAGGAGGGAAAACAAUGUGCAGUCAUUUGAAAAACUUCGCCAGGUAAAUUUUAAUUGCUUGUAUUGCUUGUAGUGUAGCAGGCAUUUAUCAGUCUGACCUAUAGUCCAGUAUCUCAAAUUAUUGGUUUUUUAUUUAUUUUAGUGGUUCCAAGCAGUAGAUAUCAGUAUACUGCUAGGUAUCUUUGUACUAAACUAGUCCAGUGAUUGUUGAAACUGAUAUCAGACAGGUAUUUAAAACCUUGAUCUAGAGACUUAAGUGGUUUCUUUUCACCUAGAUAAGUCUAAACAACACCAUGUUAAUGCAGUUGGUUUUGGGCCCAUUAUAUGCUGUAACUGUCAGUUAGCUCUGUUUCAUGUUUUAAAGAAUUUGUUAUGAACACUCCAUGAAUCUCCAUGUGAAGGUUGCAUGUAUUAAAUUUCAUCCUUUAGCAUACUAAUGCCUAAAUCUUUAUCCUUAAUAUGUCCUCAUAAGCUACUAUUCCCCGACUAAGGUUUAUAUUGGUCUUUUGUAACAAGUCUUGCCUUCUGUAUGUAUUAAUUUAAAAUGUCUAAUGAACUUUAAAAGUUUUUAGGAUGACUGUACAAAACAUUUACUGAGGAACUAAUAUCUUUAGAGAUGUUGGAUGGGGAAAUGAUUGUGACAUCGACAAUUUAGUAAAAGCCAAAUUGUCUGAUCUCCUUUUACCUUUUUAGCAAAAAGUUUUGUUAUUGGUUGGCCUUUUUUAUCCUUUUUCUGAAGAACUCUACUGCAUCCAUUUUAUCAUAUAGGUUACUUUAAGCAAAUAAUUUUAAGAGUGAAUUUAUUUUUCUAGAAAAGGUAUUGCAUGAAAUUGAUUUUGAGGGGACCUAAAAGGAUGUGCAUUCCAUAAAAAGGAAAUUUAUUGAAGCUAUGCCUACUGUUGAUACCAUUAACCUCUAUUUUAAGCUACAGAAGACAUAUGAUGUGUACUAGUACACUGAUUUAAUUUUGUAGGACAGAUUGUGGAUCUUUUGUCAUAUUUAGAAGUGAGACAUUUCUUAAUCUUGUUAUCAUUAUUUUGGUUACUCAUAGAUUUUUGAUUUGUCAUAAUUAUUAGCAAAAUAUAGAUUUAGCUUUAUAAAUUCCACUUGAUAUUAUCAUUGGCAAUUGUUGACAUGUAUAUACAUAGAUUAUGAAGGGAAAAACUUGGCUCUUGGUAGAUUGGAAAUGAAAAAUGGAUGGCUGAGCUGUAAAUACUCAGAUAUGAAUUGAUUAAUGAUUAAGAAGAUACUUGUCAAUUGUGUAAUUUCAUUUGUUACUUCAUCAAGAAUGAGUUUACAAAUUUUUAAGAUCUAAAUCCCAGAAAGGUAAAAUACAACCAUCCUAUUACAGACCUAAUAUAUUAGGAUUUAGGAAUACAAUUGUACAUAUAAAUUCUAGACAACUUUCCUGUUUUAAUUUAAGAAUACAACUAUUUAGGAAUAUAGUUAUAUUCUAAUUAAGAAUACGGACAUAUAGGAAUGCAGCCUCGAUAUUCUAGAAAUACAAUACAGCUUCCAUAUUCUCAGCUUUCAUAUUCUAGGACAACUUCCACCGGAAUAUAGCUUUCAUAUUUAAGGAUUACAGUUACUGUUUCUGUGUGAUUCUCCAACAAUACUUUUACAGGCCUAUCGUCUCUUUACUACAGAUACUGUGAACAAUCUUGUAGAAAUUGUUAUGUAUAGUUUUAUUUUUAAUCAUUUGGCUUCAUGAUCACUUAUCAUACUUCAAUUAUUGCACUUGCUUCAGGUCAGGCAUAACUUGGACCAGGCAAAGAAAGUGCUAAGAUCUUUGAUUAAGGUUUCUUUUAGUAAAGUUUUAUUUUAACUGGAGAAAUAUGCUUUCUUAAACGGCUUUUGCAUAAACCUAUAUUUUGCAACUAAUAAUGUGGAAUUGCAGAGAGAAGAAAAGAAGCGGGAGAUUGUUGAGUGCAAGGUCAAAAUUCAAAGAAUCCAGAUUAAGUAUAAGGUAGUUCUGAAUAGUAUAUUUUUCUUUUUUCUUUUUAAUAGUGAUACAAGGUUGUUAGCAUGAUCAACUUAUGUGAUCUCUGUACAUUUGGUAAUUUUUACUGCGAACUCUUUUUCUCCUUAUGAAAAAGAAUAAUUUUCUGCUGUGAUUUCAAUAGGCGCUCGGGCGAGGCGAGGCAAGGCCCGAGCGCCUCGCUUUAAAGAGGCGUCUCCUGGGCGCUCGCCCGAGCCUAGGCAUCAGGCGCUUUGGGCGAGCGCCCGGGUUAAACCAGGCAACCGAACCAGUGUUUUACAUCUGGUUCGAUCUCCAGUGCUUUAGUUGGUUCAAUCGAACCAACUAAAGUACCGAUAUCAGCCUCCCAACAUCCCUCUCGCGACUUCCCCAACCUUAACCCUGCUCGUGAUUCUACCGCUGACAUUUCCUCUCUGCUGCCGCUGUCAUUGCCUCUUUUUGCUGUCGUUGCUCUCCGCUGCCACUAUUGUUGCUUGCCGUUGCUGUCGCUGCUCAUCGCCGCAGCUGUUGCUGUUGCCACUAUCGCCGCUCCUGUUCCUGCUGCUGCUGCUCGCUGCUACCACUACUGCUUCUCUUAGUCAGCAGCCUCAGUCUUACUCUUAUACUACGCCCUUGCUACCGUUGUCGAUGCUCGCUACUGCCGCUGCCACUACCGCUGCUCGCCACUAUCGUCGCUCCCGCUCUCGCUGCCGCUACUGUUACUUUUACUCCCUCUUCUCACAUCGACUCGAUAGUAUAUUGUUAAAAGUAUAUUAAUAGCAAGGUUCGUCGUACCGUACCGUAUCGGCGUUUCGACCCGGGCUAGGUACGGUAUUGUACCGGGCGGUACAUCAGGGCGUACCGAACAAUUUGAUACUUUUUUCAUACUGUAGCACUGUAGCACUGUAGUGGUAUCGGGCGGUCCGCGCCCGGUACGGGCGAUAUGUUUCGGUAUGAUAGACCUUGAUUAAUAGUAUAUUGUUAACUGUAUACUAGUAACAAUAUUUUUUUAUUUAUUAAAUUAAUAAUAUAUUAUUUUAAUUUUAAUACUGCUAAUUUUUAUUUAUUUGAAAUUAUUGUUAUUGUUUUAAAUUUUGAGUAUCAUAUUUUUUAUUUAAAUAAUUAUAUUUAUUAAUUAUAUUAUAUAUUUUUAUAUUUUAGUGCCUCUGUUCGCUUGGGCGAGCGCUUAGCGCCUCAAGCGUUUUUGGACUUUAGCGUCUAGCGCUUUUUAGAUCACUGAUUUUCUACAAGCAAACCUAUUGAAUUAUGACAAAUGGUAAGUUGUCUCGAAAGAAAACAUCUAUAGCAUAAAACUUGUUCCUUAGUUACAUAAAACACUUGGUAUUUGACUAUGUAGCAGUGGUGGUCUUGUCUUUGAUGCAGUCAUCAAUUUUCCUGAUAGGCCACAAUUACCGCGAGCAAACAUAUUAAUGACGAGGAACGCAUUUUUGCUAUGCUACUAAUACUUGUACUUGCUCUGCUAUUCUGCCCAAGCCUGGCUGAGGAAGAGUUACGGGGAGUAAAACACAAAUAUGCUGAUUCCGGUCUUGGUUACUAUAUGUAAUGGUCGAAUCUUUCACGAUAAAUAAAAAGAAAAAGUAAGGCCAUUCCAUUUCGACAAAAGACCAUACCCAAGUUCAAUAGCUUUGCGUCUGCCAUCCUGAUGAUUAUUUUCCUACCCCGACCCCAAAGGGAAAGGUCCAAACCAAAAGGGAAGUAAUUGUAUCCUGGAUAAACCAUUAUGCAGAACUUGAUUGCAUUGCUCUCAGUGUCAUUCUUUCUUUUUGUUACUUUUAUGAAUCUCUAUAUACAUCUAUUACUCAUGAUGCAUAACUGUGUUAUGAUCUAAAUAUUUUUAGUGAUGCGACCUUAAUUUAUUUGGGGUGUUGGAUUUUUUUAGAGGAGAAACAGAAAAUGUCUUGGAAUUCAGCAGGCUUUGUAACUCUUGACAUAUUGGUCUCUUCUUGUACAUGGUUUAAUUCUGCAGAGACUUUCGGAAUAAUUAUUUUCUGAUUAAAGUCUAUGAAUGAAAGUACUGUUUUAUAUUGGAGAGAUGUUAUCAUGUCAAAUAUAUCAUUGGAGAUGCCUAUGAUAAAUGUAGAAGUUACUAUCUUAUUACUUGGUGUUUUAUGCUGCCACAGAGGGUUCUUUUGGCUCUGAUUGGCAUUUGACCAAAAAUAUGGGGAAAGAGUACAUUUCUAAUAUAUAAUUUUCUUCAACUCGAUAAUUAUAUCCUUGUGUAAAGAAAUGGAUAAGUGGCAGGCUUUCCGAGACAUGUCAGGAUAUUCUUGGGAAUUAACUGCCUUCUGUGAUCUGUUUCAAUUCUAGCACUUGGAUGCUUACUGACUUGGUGACUAUUUUUAGCAUGAGGCAUAUCUCAUUGAAGAUGGAUUCCGAAGCUUCCAACAACUUUCAAGCAAAUUUACAUCAAGUGAAGAGGUUUAUGUUGAUUCAGAUGACACAAUUAAUGGUCAUCAGGAUGUUAUCUCUGCCACUGUCCAUCCAAAGUUUGCAGAUUUCAAACUUGUUGCAGUCCCUACAGUACGAAUGAAACGGGAGCUGAAGCAGAGGACUCUGUCAAAUGGGCGGACAAGAAAGAGGGUACUUUUUGCUCAUUACUCUUCUCUCUUUUUGGUUAUCCAUUUAGCAUGGGAUAGAUUUGAAGUUGCAUUAUGGUGCUCCAGUAUUUUUUAGUUUGAAUGAAAAGACCACGUUGUUGUGACGAGGAGAUGCUGACACGUAUAGUGGACCAAAAUGCUCACAUUUCAUUGGUUUUGAAUUUCAUUUUACUGCAGGACUUGUAUGAGCCAGUCAUGCUGUUCACCAAAUCUUUGGAUCCAGACAAGCUUGCUGUUGCAGGCAUUGUGCCACCAGUACUACCUGCUGAGGAUAGCUCAGUUGCACCACCAUACCAAUUCCAUGGUCGGAUUGGUCGUGGAGGGCGCAUCAUCUUUGAUCGAUGGAACCCUCUUUUUGAAGUUCCAAUUGGCCAGGAGAGCUCACUCUAUCUACCACCAAAUCCAGUGCCUCCCUCACCGAUUGGCUGAACACUUGCACUGCAGAAGGCUAUUGGCUGAUGACUCAUGUGGAGGAGCACGAGCUUGUUGAAGCUGAGCAUGUUCAAUUGCUAGUUAAUGUACAAUUAUUUACUAAUUUCCAAAUUGAAAGCCAGUGCGUUAUUUUCCUCGUAUCUCGUCUCAUUUUUUGAUCCGUAAGUGUGCAAUCCGAUGCCAUAUUGCUAUUUAGUUUAUUGCUGAUGAAUAUUUGCCUUGUAAUUUUCCUCAACUUUAUGGCUAGAACGACUAUGUGCUUUGUUUGUGGCUAAAUCUGAGGUGAUGAAGAGCCAAGACAAUUCCUUUCAAAUAGCCUUUUUUUUUUUUAAUAAUCUUUUGGUCUUUUAUACCAAUUCACCACUAUAUUUAAUGUUAUGAUAUAUUUUGAAUGUUUGAUGUGUCAAGAUUCAAAGUCAACUUGGGUUCGUUAUCGCAACUUAUUGCAAGCCUGUAUAUUGGGAAGCAAUCGAGUUCGGUUGAGUUUCUUACAAAAAUUGCGUUGAGGGUGUGUUUGAUAAAUGUCAUUCCACUUAAGUUAGUAAAUGGAUUUGAGAGGGAGGGUUCAAAGGAAUUGAGGGUAGUCACAAAGAGUCUUCGAGUGGCAUUUCUAUAUUUGAGGCUUUCUAUAGUGGUUAUUGGUAACUAACUGAAGCAAGCGGGCAUUUAAUUCACAUCACAUUUAUGUGUAUUUAUUGGGUGUUAUCGCUAACUAAUGGAAGUAAGCGAGCAUUUAAUUUGUAUCACGUUUAUGCGAACUUAUUAUUGGGUGUUACUUGGACAUGAAGAAAAUAGCCAACAUUGGUAUCGAUCGAGCAUUAAGGUCAACAUUGUUAUGCGCCGUAUUAAUUUGGAGGGGUGUUUGGUUGACUAAACGUUGGAAUUGGUGUUGGACAAUUGGCUAUUAUUCUUUCGAUUAUGUUUGUCGCCUCACAAUUUCUUAAGUUUUGAAAACCACCUAUGAUCCAAGCACUUAUUAUGCCCUAAAGAUGCCUCAAUCAUGUCGAGAGUAAUGAUCAUUUCGAGGGUUAAUUAUAUUAAUUCUUUUAUGCUUGGACUUUAUUAACGUGAUUUUUGUACUUAAAAAUUUAUAUUUAAAUUUUUAUAAUUCUAAAAAUAAAAUAAAUAAUCUCAUUUGUCAUAACAUUAUUAGCUACAUCGACGAUAAACAUAACACUAUAAUAACACGUUCUAAAUUGAUACGAAGUGAUGAAUAAAAAAAUAAAUAUAAUUUUUUUUAUUUUUUAUUAAUUUUAUCGAUAAAAAAAAUCAUUUCCAUGUGCUAAAAAUAAAAAAAAUUAAAAUUAUUAUUUGUCCAUUACUUUUACAUCGAUCCAACACAUGGUAACUUGUGUUAUGUUUUUUAUCAAUAAUGUUAGGACAUUUUUAAAAUUAUAAAAAUAGUAAUGUAAAUUUUGUAAGUAAAAUUUUUGUAAAUUUGGAUACUAAUAGUAUCCAAAUAUAGAAAGUAAUACCCAUUUCUACAAGAUGUGUAAGAGGCAUGGAUAUAAUUUGAACAUAGGUUCUGUUCUUUCAGUUUAAUAUUAUCUUAAACUGUUUUUAUCAUUAAUAUUAUAUCCAAAGCCUUUAAGUCAGUUAAGUAGACAUCAUCCGAUUUAUACGUACAAACACGAAUAGAUCCAACUAACCCACUUGCAUUGGGGUUGGAGUCUAAAAACGCUGCGUCUGGUGAUUCAAAAGCAGCCUCGUUGUGGUGCAAGCAAGAAGGGGAGCUUCCAGAUGAAAAAGGACGAGGAGAAAGCGGAAGAGGCGUGAAAGCUUCCACCUUUGAUCCAGUCGCUUCGGCGUGUCCCCCGGUGGACUUUCCAGGUCCCAAAGAGGACGCCGUUAAGUGGGACUCGUUGCUGCUGCAACCACUUCCCUUGUAGAGAACGCCCCCCAGCUACCCACUACGGCAUGGGCCAUGGCCAUCAGGGAGCUACUCUUCCUCCUGACCUCACCUUUCUUUGUGUACGCAACGCAUCAAAUUAAGACGACGCCGUCGCGUGCUUCUUCUCUUUCUCGAUCAUCUUCCCCCAUGGCUUUUACUAGUUUUCUGCAAUUUAUUGCACCAUACCCGUUCAAAUUUCACUGUGCUGAUGAAGACAUACCACCGGAGAGCAAGAUCCUGUAAUGGAGUGGUGACAAUAAACUUCCUUUUAACAUCAACGGAUUACCGAGAAGAAGCUGCAAAGAUCAUAAAGGUAGGUAACUCGAAGAAGAAGAAGAAGAAGAAGAAGAAUAAUAAUAAUAAUAGAGCUGCAUGCAAAUAUUAUAUUUUUGUGAAGACAAAAAGGGAGAAGGGUUAAGAAUUAUAAGAGGAGCUGCUGACCUCCUUCGAGUGUAUCAGUGAAAAGGGAGGAAGACUGACGCUCGCUAGAAGAUACAACUUAAUUAUCGAACUAGUGUUUCUUUCCAUGUAAGUUUCAGCUAGCUGUUUGGGUGAACUACAAAUAUAAAAAUGGAAAAGUCAGAGAAGAGCUGAAGAGCGUGACGGAUGGUCCACUUCGAUCGAAUACCUACGGGGAAGCCCUACGGUGAACUACAAAUAUAAAACUACGGGGAAGCCACCAGCAAUCGAAUACCUACACUUCGAUAACAAGGGAAGAACACAUAAAUACCAAUUCUUGAGAAUUGUUACGUGACGCGCAAAGAACAAGAGCUUUUCCACUCCUCUUUCUUGCUCGUGAGAGAAGCCGGGCCACCGAAGAAAAAGCUCAAACGUUCACGUACGCCUCGACCGAGUUCAUGUACUUCGAUGUAGAUGUCGGGAGGAGCACCAACAUCCACCCACGCCAACUCCGACGUGUCCAAGAGAUAAGUCACGGCGCAUUCCUCCGAACAUCAAGGAGAUAAGGAACGCGUUGAUCGAAGCACAUAGGCUCACGUAGCACAAGGAUGUAUUGUGUAUCACGGAAUCAUUCGUGCAUGUAUGCUGAUAGAAUGAGAGAAUGAAGAAUGAAAUUAUAAGGAUAAAGCAAAAAGGCACACUUCAAGUAGUAUCAUGUGAAGUCUAUUUAUACAUAGUGAAAGAGGAUAUUUCUUUAACUGAGCAGAGAGAUUUCCUCAUACAGUUGAGGAAAUCUCAUCUGCUAUACAGUUGAGAAUAUCUCUCUUUUAUCAGAGAAAAUCUCUUUGUUAUCAUGCCCCCGCAAGAUCGAGCUCCUGUCAAGGAUACCGAUCUUGGAUCGAUGAAACAAAAAUAGUUUGCGGGCUAGAGGCUUCAUGAGUGAGUCUGCAAGUUGAUCAGCCGUAUGGACAUGAGAGACACGAAGUUGAUGUCUGACAACUUGAUCUCGCACGAAGUGAAAGUUGAUGGUGAUGUGUUUCAUGCCCGAGUGGAACAUUGGAUUGACACAUAAGUAGGUAGCUCCAACAUUGUCACAAUAUAUUGUGGGAGUAUGAGUAAAGCUAACUUUGAGUUCCUUGAGGAGAUUUGUGAUCCAGUUGAGUUCAGUAGCAGUGGUAGCAAUAGCACGAUAUUCAGCUUCAGUUGUAGACCGGGCCACUAUCUUUUGCUUCUUAAAACUCCAACUGAUUGGAUUAGACCCAAGAAAGAUGACAUAUCCUGACGUGGAGGUUCUAUCAUCAAAGUUUCCCGCCCAAUCAGCAUCAGCAAAGGCAUGGAGAUGAAGUUGAGUGGUUUUGCGGAGAAAGAGACCAUGAUUAAGGGUUCUUUUAAGAUAUCGCAAAAUUCGUUUAACCGUAGACCAAUGUAUAGUAGAAGGUUGGUGCAUGUAUUGAGACAAUUUAUUGACUGCAAAUGAGAUAUCUGGACGGGUGAGAGCCAAGUAUUGUAAGGAGCCAAGUACUUACCGGUAUUGAGUUGAGUCCGUGGUAGGGCUACCAUCACAUAAUUUGAGUGAUUCACCAGUAGAGAGAGGAGUAGCAACUACUUUCGCAUCCUGCAUAUUUGUCUUUGAUAAUAAGUCUUGAAUAUACUUUCUUUGAUNNNNNNNNNNNNNNNNNNNNNNNNNNNNNNNNNNNNNNNNNNNNNNNNNNNNNNNNNNNNNNNNNNNNNNNNNNNNNNNNNNNNNNNNNNNNNNNNNNNNNNNNNNNNNNNNNNNNNNNNNNNNNNNNNNNNNNNNNNNNNNNNNNNNNNNNNNNNNNNNNNNNNNNNNNNNNNNNUGUGUUGUCAUUGGAUGGCUAGGAACUGCAGGUUGUGUUAUUGGUAAGAGUGGUGGAGAGGCAUCAACAAGAUGCAAGAGAGGUUGAGAUACAUCGAUGGCACUUGGUAAAGAAAGUUGUUGUGUUUCUGAGGAUACGACUUCAGUGGUAGGGGAGACUUGUGAAGAAGGAAGGGGAGAAGGAAUGGGGGGAGUGGAGAGUUGUUGAACCGGGAGAACAAAAGAGUGUGGAUCUUCAACAAUAGGACUGGAUGAUGUGGGAGGAGGUUCGUUUGAGGGGAUCGAAUGUAUACUCCAGGAAUGAAUAUUUGUCGGAGUGGUAUGAAUGGUAGGAGAUUCAUGGUUUUGAAAUGGAAUGGCAGAUUCAACAAAAACAACAUGCCGUGAAAUAAAGACUUUUUGAGAUUGUGGUUCGUAGCACCGAAAGACAUUAUGCUCAAGAGAAUAUCCUAUAAAGAUGCUAGAUCUUGACGCUAACUUGUGUGGGGCAUAGGGACAUAGCCACAGAUAACAUAAACAACCAAAUAUUCUGAGUUUUUGAAUGUUUGGGCAUUUGAAAAAUAAUUUUUCAAAUGGAGACUGAUAUUGAAGAACUGGAGUGAGCAAACGAUUAAUAAGGUAGACAGCAGUUUGAAAGACGACAGACCAAAAAGUUAGUGGCAUGGAGGCUUGAUGUAGAAGUGUGAGACCAGUUUCUACGAUAUGUUGAUGUUUACGUUCAGCAGAGCCAACUAGUUGAGGAGUGUGUGGGGGUGACUUAAGGUGUUGGAUGCCACAAGUUGAGAGGUAGGAUGUGAGGGCUUGAAAUUCACCUCCACCAUCAGAGUAGACUAUUUUAAUUUUAGACUGAAAGAAGUUUUCAACCAGCUUUUUAAAGUUGGUGAAGACUUUUGAAACUUCUGAUUUAUGACGAAGAGGAUAUAGCCAUGUGUAUUUAGUAAAAUAGUCGAGAUCGACAGACCUUUGCAGAGUGACCGACUUUAUCACAUAGUUGGCAAACAAUUCUUUGUUGGUUUGUGUAGUGAGGGCGCCAGGACCGCGGAUGAUUGAAGAAGCCACCUUGGUUGGAUAGAAGACUAAGCAUACGAGUGCGAGAAUGAUUGGCCAAGGUGGUUUGCAACUUGCACCAAGCUUCGGCAGCAGUAUCACAUGAAAAAAUGAGUGGGGCAAGGGUUCCAACAACCAAGGCUUGAAUUGCUUGAAGGAUGAGGCGAUCUUGGCGUAACCAUAGUUUGUGAUCCGGAUUUGGUACUGGAUCGGAUGCACCUGGGAUGUUGAGCAUCGCCGGUGGACAACGAAGAGAGCCAUCGACAUAGCCAAAUAGUAUAUUAGAGAAUUGAGCACGCCAUGAUGCGUAGUUACCACCGUUGGAUAAUUUGAAGGGGAUGAGGGUUGCUGCAUUUAUGGAGAUACGGUUUGUAUGUGGGAAGAUACUAUGGUUCCCUACGGGAACAGUAAUGGGAGCAUCAGAGGUAGAUGAUGAUGACAUAUGGAAGAUAUGAUCAGGGAGAAAGAAGUGUUGGUAUAGAUCAAUGUCACCUGAGGUGGUGGCAAAUAAGAUCUGUGAAAGAAUAAGGUCUUCGUUGAAGGAAAAGACCUAUGCAAGAUGGUGUAAAGCUGUAGAUUUCUAUGCAGCAGUUCUAUAGGAAGGACUCUGGGCAGUGAUGCAGCCAGUGGCGUGAUCAGCUUUGUGCAAGACAACUACAUAUCUGUGUGUAAUAGAUCAGCAGUGAGGAAUCUUGGCAACGAGGCAGCAGCGUGGAAAGUUACCGAAGGCUGCUUGUCUCUACGAAGGCAGAGCAGGAUGCUGGCUGCUGGGAGGCCUGCACCCAGAAGGUCCUCUCGGAAGCAAUGAGGAUAAUGUUGCCGGAGUCGAGGACAGCGGUGGCGGAGGCGUUGGAGGGAGAAGGCCAGGAGCUGGUCGAUGGACCAGCGCGCGGAAGCAGAGUAGAUCUGGCAGAUCUGGAGCAGAGGGUCAGUGACGGGGCGCUGGCGACGAUGAAAGAUGGGAAGAUGAUGAUGCAGCAGCUUCCAUGGCCUGACGUGAAGCUAAUGGGUGAGAUUGAAAGACUCAAAGAGGAGAACGCUGCUCUGAUACUAUGAUAAAAUGAGAGAAUGAAGAAUGAAAUUAUAAGGAUAAAGCAAAAAGGCAUACUUAAGUAGUUUCAUGUGAAGUCUAUUUAUACAUAGUGAAAGAGGAUAUUUCUGAGAUUUCCUCAUGCAGUUGAGGAAAUCUCAUCUGCUAUGCAGUUGAGAAUAUCUCUCUUUUAUCAGAGAAAAUCUCUUUGUUAUCAUAUGCAUCCCCGAAAUUCUAGCGUGCUGCUCGAUUGUGAUCAUUCCUGUGUGUCUGGGCGACGGGGUUGACGAUUCAUAUGCUGAUAAGAUUAAUUUAAAUACAAAAUUAAUAUGCUGAUAAUAUGCGGAUGAGAAGAUUUAAUAAAAUAAAUUUAGAUUAAUUUAAAUAAUUAUGAUUAAUAUUCUGAUAAGAUUAAUUUAAAUAAUUUAUGAUUAAAUAAAAUAAAUAAAUAAAAAAAUAAAAUUUCAGAUUUAAUUAAAUAAAAUUUUAGCUUUAAUUAAAUAAAUUUGAUCAAUAUAAAUAUGUGUUUUUAGAUCAAUCCAAAGCAUUGUAUAUUGAAAAUACUCACAAUCUUUCUUAUUAUUCUCUUCCCCUUCUCCACGAAGUUCUAUGGUAUUAGAGCUUAGUUGGAAAAAAAUCAAUAAGAGUACAUCGAUUAAAAUAAAAGAGAAAACUAACAGAUCCAGAAAAAGAAAAAAAAAAGAAGAUGACAAGGAUUAGAUUAAGUGUUCUUAAUCAACUUCUUUAUAUCUUCGGAAGUGAUAAUUAUUAAUUUUAGAUUGUUAAGAUGAAAACUUUAUGUAUCUCACAAAAAUUAUAGAAUUUGGUAGAAGAUAAUUUUGUUGAGUAUGAUCUACAAGAUCCUAAUAUUAUUGAAGAUCGAAAAGAUCAAAUGAAUAAGAAUAUACAGAAAGAUGCAAGAACUCUCUAUAUGCUACAACAAGCAAUAUAUGAGUAUUUAUUUUCUUAAAUCAUGAUGGCACCAAUAUUAACAUAAGCCUAAAAAAUAUAAAAAAAUAUGUUUGGAUCUUAUAGUGAAAACCUAAAAUAUCAAACUAUAGUAGAAAAGGUUCUUCGGAGUUUAUCUCUAAAAUUUGAUAUGAUUUCUACCGCUAUAGAAGAAGCUAAAGAUAUAAGCAUAUUAUUUAUUGAUGAACUAAUGGGCUCCUUUAGUUUAUGAACAAAAAGUGAACAGAUCAAAAUGAAACUUCAUAACAUGCUCUUCGAAUGAAGACAAAUUAAAAGAAAAAUUUAUAAACUAGAUAUUAAGGGAGAGAUCAAAAUAGCAGGAGUCGUAGCUGAUCAAAUAAAGGUUAGAGGAACUCUAAUGAAGGUAACAAAGAAACCCGUCAAUGUUUUUAUUAUAAAAAAAAUUAGACAUUUUGAAAAAGAUUGUUGGUACAAAAAUAAAAAUCUAAAUGUUCCUCUUUGCUCUUACAAUAAAAAAUAUGGUCAUAUUGAAAAAGAUUGUUGGAACAAAAAUCAAAUAAAUUAUCAUAAGAAAAAAAUGAUGAAAAAAGAGAUGAAGAAAAUAUUUUCUUUAUAGCAUACGAUGAAGAAUAUUCUAGAUAUAUUGGAUUUUUGGAUAGUGAAUGUAGUAAUUAUAUAACAGGAGAUAAAAAAUUAUUUUAAAUAAAGACUUGAUGUGAAAUGAUAGUAAGAUUCAAGUGGAAGGAAAAGAAACAAUUGUUGUAAAUAUCAAAUCUAAUAAAAAAUUUAUUGAUGAUGUGAUGUUUAUUCCUGGUUUAAAACAAAUGAUAAGAAAAUUAAAAAAUUGAUAGCAAUUGUGAGGAUGAUAAAAAAUAAAGUGUUUCUCUUAUUAUUUUUAGAUUUCUCAUUAUAUGUUAUUGUUACCGAUGAAUCGACAUUAUAGUUAGUAUAAAAGCUAUAAUCAUAUGACUUUUUAUGAGUCUAUACAAACUAUCUCAUAUGAUAAACCCUUCAAAAUUAAAAUUAAUAAAAUAAUACCUCAGAAGAAGGCUAAAAUUGAUAAAAGUUCUGAUGAGAGCAAUGAGCGAUACGAGAAGUUAUAAUUGAAAAAGCAAAAAGUUAUGGAUUUUGUUCCAUCUACCACUAGUAAGCUUGUUACAAAGGUUGCCAAAAAGGAGAGCAUCAAUACUGAUGAAGAUGAGGAUGAUAGCUCUAAAGAAAGAUCUAAUGAUGAAUAUUCAAAAGGGCAACAAGUUAAGAAAUCUCAAAUAUCAAAAGACAGUAGUAGUUCUGACGAGUCUUUUGAGAAAAGUGAAGAGGAGUAACCAUUAAGACUCCGAAGAAGGUUAAAGAUAUAAAAAUGAUGGAUACAACUUCGAAAGUGAAAAACAAAGUGUUACAAAGUUUGAAAUGAAUGGGGCUAAAACUCUUGCUACAAGUCACACUCAAACUCUUCACAAAAUUCAUCAAAACUUAAAGAAACUUUAAAUCCUUUGAAGAUUAUGAAGACUUAUGGAAUUGGUUGAUAAAGGAAAAUUUCAAAUAGACUACCGUAGCACCGAGAACCAGUUUACCGAUAUCCUUACAAAAGCUUUGGUGAAAGAAAACUUUUAUUUUGAAGACAACUUUAAGUUACAACUAUUUUGGAUUGAGGGGAUAUAAUAAGAUUAAUUCAAAUAGUUAGGAUUAGAUAAAUAAAAGAUAAGAAUUUAGAUUUAAUAAAAUAGAUGAGGGUGAAAAGAUUUAUUAAGAUAUGGUAGAUUUUUUUUUAUUAUUUUAAAAAAAUUAUACUCUAUCUUUUGACCAAUAUAAAUAGGUGUUCUUAGAUCAAUCCAAAGCAUUGAAGUACUUCAAGUCUCUUCUAUUAUUCUCUUUUCUUUCUUUAUGAAAUUUUAUAGAAAAACCAAUGAGUGUAGUAUCACAGCCAACAAAUGCAUGAUUACACGAGGAAGGAA
rnacentral:lncRNA from 1 species